GGGGAAGGGCCCUAGAGCCGUGGGGAGAGGCAGCCCGUGGCCUGGAGCAGUGGUUGGUGACCUUUGGAGUGGCGGUUGGGCGGUUGGGCGGUUGCAUGGGGCGGCCUGGGACUCGGGGGCGGGGUCAGUCAUAUAAGGCUGUGCCCAGCGCUUUUGGAAGCAGUAAGUCCAGCCCGAGGCUAAGGUGAGAGCGUCUGCCGGGACAGUGUGGCUGGACCCACGUGGCAGGAGGUGUUAACCACCGAAGGGAGGUAGAAUGUUUUUCCCCACCAGAGGAGGCAGCGACCACGUCUCCUCUAUGGAGGCAUUCAAGAGCCGUCCAGCUGAAGCAGCAUCACUGUCUGAGCUCGGAAGGCACAAUCCACAUAGGUCUGCAUGGUCCACCGAGCUGCAUACCCACGGGGCCAGCGGGAGGUGGGCAGCUGCUGGGCUCUCUUCUGAAGCAGACAGGAUCUCACUCUGUUGCUGAGGCUGGAUCACAGCUCCCUGCAACCUUGAACUCUCCCUCAAGCAAUUCUCCCCACUCUGCCUUCCAAAGCACUAGCAUUAUAGGCCUAAGCCACCACUCCCAUCCACUGUAGUGUAAACUGUCUCCUUCAAUGUUUCCAAUAGUUGCGGAGCAGAUCAGAUAAGGGUUCUUCCUGUCUGUUGCUUCAAGUUUCAUUCUCUCUUUAAACAAUACAAGGUUGGCUUCCAUGGUUCCUUCUUAAAGAAUGUUGAAGGUGUGUCUUCAGAUUCAUUUAGUGUUCGUGGAACCCCAGGGAAAGCUGAUGUAAAAACCUCUUUUUUCUCCCAUAUGUCUCAAAAAGUUGUAUUUUCUGGGUCCAAGGGAUCUGCAAGCCUCCUAAAGGCAUUUCCAUUGUCACUACCACCAGGUGUGAACUGUAAUCUGGCACGUAUAGUUCCAAGAACUGUCAUAAUAGAUGCUGAAGAAACAUUGUGAAGUUAACUCGCUGUUACCAACUGUGAAGUCAUUAGCUAGAGGAAUCUUGGGCGGUCUGAAAUCUGAGAUACUGUGGAAAGAACAGAAAGAUCCUGUAUCUUUCCUAUAAUUGUUCUACUGGAAGUUGUCAUUUUACACAGGAGACAUUCUGUUUUAUUUAUUUUCUUUUGAGACAGGGUCUCACUCUGUCGCCCAGGCUGGAGUGCAGUGUUGUUACCACAGGUCACUGGUGCCUCCACUGCCUGAGGACUGCUCAAGCAAUCCUCCUGCCUCAGUCCCCUGAGGAGCUGGGGCCACAGGCCUGCACCACCAUGCCUGGCUAAUUAUUUUUAUUUGUAGAGACAAAGUCUAUCUUGCCUAGGCUGAUCUCGAACUCCUGGGCUCAAGUAAUCCUCCCGCGGUGGCUUCUCAAAGUGCUUGGGAUUACAGAUGGUCUUGCUCUGUCACCCAGUCUGGAAUGCAGUGGUGCCAUCAUAGCUCACUACAGCCUGAGCUGUACUGAGCUCGAGGGAUCUUCCCGUCUCCGCCUCCUAAGCAGCUGGGACUACAGGUACUUGCCCCCAGGCCCAGAUAAUUUAUUUAAAAACUUUUUUUGUAGAGACAGGGUCUCACUAUGUUGCCCAGGCUGGUCUCAAACUCCUGGCCUCAAACAAUCCUCUACCUCAACCCCCCUAAGUGCUGGCAUUACAGGCAUCAGCUGCCAUGCCUGGCUACAAAUCUUAAUGUUUUCCCCAUGGCUUCUUUUUCUGGCGUUCUUUUCUCAGGUAAUGGAAGUGGGCAGAGAAUGAUCCUUUCCCUAGGCUCCAGUGUGUAAGAAUUAAAGAAAGAGGAAAGAAACACAAUGGCUUGAUGGUCGAGGACAGGUUUAUUUUAAAGAAAACAAACCCAAGAGUGGCUUCUGGCUGAGUUAGAUCAGAGAAGAGAAGUGAUUUUCUUGAAAUGCAUGAGGCUGGAAAGGGAGCUGGCACUUAAAGUGGCGGUGUUUGUCCGAGAGGAUGGUGCUCCUGCUCUGUCACAGUGGGCAUGGGGAUUCAGGCCACUGCCACCGAAUUUCAAGAGCCCAAGCACAGAGCCCAGAACUAAAUUGUGAGGGUUUAAAAAAAAAAAAAGCUUUAUUGAAGUAUAAUUGACAUACAAUAAACUUGAAUAUUUAAAGUGUACAAUUUAUGCGUUUGGGCAUUUGUAUAUACCCCUGCAACCAUCAGCACACUGAAGAUAAGGAAUAUACCCAUUACCCCUGAAAAUUUCCCCAUGCCCUUUGGAGCCCCUCCCUUCAACCCCUCAAAUACUUAAUGCGCUUUUUCCCGAAAGGCAAGAAGAAAGCUUCCCUACACAUUUAUCAAGGCUGUUAUAAUCCUGACUCCCAAACAAGGUAAGGAAAUUGUUAGACACUUAGAGAACACUUUCAACUAUUGUAUUCAGAUGUUAAAAUCCUCAGUAAAAUUCCCAUAACAGUUAAUUGAACAAACCAAUUAUGCAAAAACAUACAAUCAACUAUAAUUGCACCCUAUAGACUCCCCUUUUUAUUCUCUAAUGUGUUAUAUUCCACUAAAUCUUUCUUCAUCUUGCCAGUUUUUCUUCUAAUUUCCCUGCAGCUAUAAUUUUGGCUGAUGCUAUAGUUUGAAUAUUUGACCCUCCAAACCUCAUGUUGAAAUUUAGUCCCCAGUGUUGGAGGUGGGGCCUGGUGGAAGGUGUUUGGGUCAUGGGGGUGGAUCACUCAUGAACGGCUUGGUGCUGUUCUCAUGGCAAUGAGUGAGUUCUCACAUAAUCAGUUCCCUCCAGAGCUGGUUAUUAAAGAGAGCCUGGCAUCUCCCCUCUGUCUCUCUUGCUUCCUGUCUCAUCAUGUAAUGUCUGCACACACUGGCUCCCCUUCUGCCAUGAGUGGAAACUCCUGGAAGCCCUCACCAGAAGUAGAUGCUGUUGCCAGCAGAACCACGAGUCAAAUAAACCUAUUUUUAUAAAUUACCCAGCCUCAGGUAUUCCUUUAGAGCAACACAUAUGGACUAAGACAGUGAUGUUCUCAAUUUACCCUGACAUUGCAUGCAGGCCGGCUGUUUCCUCUUAAGUUCCCGGAGUGGGAAUGUGUUCCGGACAAAGGAUGCUAGUGAGUGGCAGUC
rnacentral:lncRNA from 10 species